UACGUAGGGUGCGAGCGUUAAUCGGAAUUACUGGGCGUAAAGCGUGCGCAGGCGGCCAUGCAAGACAGAUGUGAAAUCCCCGAGCUCAACUUGGGAACUGCAUUUGUGACUGCAUAGCUAGAGUACGGUAGAGGGGGAUGGAAUUCCGCGUGUAGCAGUGAAAUGCGUAGAUAUGCGGAGGAACACCGAUGGCGAAGGCAAUCCCCUGGACCUGUACUGACGCUCAUGCACGAAAGCGUGGGGAGCAAACAGG
rnacentral:rRNA from 1 species